AGAUUCUUCCUGGCUUGUUCCUUGGAAAUUUUAAAGAUGCUCGUGACUCUGAACAACUUAAACGGAAUGAUAUUACACACAUUCUUUCAAUCCAUGACAGUGCUAGGCCUAUGCUUGAGGGAGUGAAGUAUCUGUGUAUCCCUGCUGCCGAUUCACCCUCACAGAAUUUGUAAGUAUUUUUUUUACAGAAUAUGUUGAUUGUUUUGCUUAAUUGCUCCAGCAAGCUUUAUUGCUUUUUUGUGAAGAAAGCAGAGCCAAAAAGCCGUGUUGUUGGCUGUGAAUUUCUGUGCAUGAAAUGUUGGAUUCUUUCUCUACCAUAAAGUUAACAGUGGAGCACUAAAAUAAAACAGAGGUCAGGUGGCAUACUUAACAAAAUUUGUUCCAGUAUUAGCUUCCAUGAAUAAAAGCUUCCUGCAUCAAAGACGUCAGGUGCUCAUGCAUUGAGGCCUUUUUACGUAAACAGCAGAAAAGGGUGAGGUGUCUAUUUACCCUCUAUUUGCCCUCUAGCGCAGCCGAU